rnacentral:lncRNA from 1 species
AUGAUGCGCCACAGAAUCCAAUAUUGGAAAGAAGCCUCUAAAAGCAUGGAAAAUAAAAGAAAAACACAAAGCUCCAUGAGGAGGAAGGGGAGCUGCAGAACAUCAUCAAGGACCCGGAUCCAAAUUAUGAAGCCAAGUCUGUUGGUCCUGGAGAGCAGGCACGAGCCAUUUGUCCCUGCUGUAUCCUGGUGUUUGCAGGCAGAAAAAGCAGCAGAAUACAGAUCCGCAUGGGGCUCAGCAGUGACACUGAAUCAUCCUUAUCUUUGAAAAUUUGCCUGGCCAUUCCCUAGGCAAUGAUGAGAACUAUUGGCCUCCAGACUCAAAGAUGGACCAGAACUCUUUCCUUCCAAGAACACUUGAAUACGUGCAACGUAAUAUUACUCAAGUCCGGGAAUUUAAAAGUGUAACUCCUCCCUCUCUCUUCAAUUCCAUUCUUCAUUAUGGAAUUGGGAGUUAAAUAUUCAACAAUGUAACCAGCAUGCUCAUUUUGCUCUCAACUGUAUUUAUGGAGAUCCGGCUCCUUUUCAAUUAAGAGCUUACUUGCACUUUUGUUCUUGUUCAUUGAUCUUGAAAAUGACAUUUUUUUCUGUUUAUGACUAUUAAACAAUAUUAUGUUGUGUAAGG